UACGAAGGGGGCUAGCGUUGUUCGGAAUCACUGGGCGUAAAGCGCACGUAGGCGGAUCUUUAAGUCAGGGGUGAAAUCCCGAGGUUCAACCUCGGAACUGCCUUUGAUACUGGGGAUCUCGAGUCCGGGAGAGGUGAGUGGAACUGCGAGUGUAGAGGUGAAAUUCGUAGAUAUUCGCAAGAACACCAGUGGCGAAGGCGGUUGCCUGGGGCUUUGCUGACGCUGAUGCGCGAAAGCGUGGGGAGCGAGUCCGG
rnacentral:rRNA from 1 species